rnacentral:tRNA from 1 species
GCGGUCGUGGCGGAACUGGCAGACGCGCACGCUUGAGGGGCGUGUGGUAGUACCGUGUGGGUUCGAUUCCCACCGACCGCACCA